AAAUUGAGCUUAUCCCACUAAUUCCUUUUCUCUGUUUAUAUUCACAGGCAUGUAAGGAGCAUUGAAAAUCCAGAAGUUAUAUAUCUAAGUUUGGUGCAUCUAUUUCCCGUUUUAGCCAGACUUGUGAUAUCCUGAUGGAACCCAACAGCAACUGAAGAGGAGUUAAGAAGCUUUUCCCCUUUCAGCUUAAUGUGAUGUAUGAAGCAAGAAAAACAGUUUGACUUUCAGAUGCGCGGCAGAGGUUAUGCUGGCAGUAAAGAAAAGCCUCUUUCCAAUAUCUGCAGGAAGCAAGCUUGACGUGGCAUUUGCUGAGGGAAAAGAACCUGGAAUGUAGAGGGAUAUGUCUACAGUUCCCAAAUGAUGCUCAAGUGACAAAGAUGUCUGAUUUCAUCCAGUGAAGGGUUCUCAAGUUCAAUUCUCAAGCAAAACAAAAGACAAAAAUCUGCCUUUUACCUAAUUUUAGCUGGAGCUGCUCUGCACUUGGCAUCUUGACAUGGAUAUACAAAUGACACUUUGCUCUAUAGAUGCUUACCCGUUGGAACAGAUGGCAGCAGUCAGAAUCUCGCAGCAACUUCAUAGCCUUUCUGUCGGACUCCAACACAAAAGACAAGGAUGCUGAAUUUCAGUGCAGGAGCAGUGUUACAAAGUGGCUAAAUGAAGAAGCAUUUGUGGCGCCUCCAAAAUUCCUGCAAAUUAAUGGCCCCUCAAGGUUUUAAACACUUUGGGCAAAAUUCACCUCGCGUAAUUUCAUUGGGAACAGAUGGAGCUGCACCAGGAAUGAAUCUGGCUGCCAGGAAUUACUGCGUGACCGGAGGACAAAACUCCUCACGCGUUUGCGUUCUGCAGAUCGGAUUUCUCCGGCGAUGUCGAGGAAGAUAAAGGAGCAAAAGCAAAAUGCUGGGGACGUUAUGAUGUGUGCGAGGUGCGAGCUCCCCUCGGCCCACACGUCCUCAGCUCUCCGUGACAGCGAUGAUGGCUCUGCCAUGGAUCAGAGGUAGUCAUAACCCGGCGUGUGAUGCUUGCUCGAAAUGCCUAUUUAUCUCAAUAUAUUUAAGGCUGUUUCCCCUAUAGACGUUUUUAUUACCUGCUGUUUAGGUAGGAAUUGAAUUACUACUGCCUUCUAUUAGUUUUAUGCCUUUGUAAUGGCAUUAUGAGCAAUGCUUAGUCAACAUCAAGCUAGAGUGAAGUGAUGGUGGAUCAGGCCCAAUCCACUUCACUGCAGUCGUGCUGUUUAAAAAGGUGCAAGUGCUUGAGUAUUAAAAAAGCAAACACACACUAAAAUUUUUUUUCUCUCUGCAGUAUCUUAGAAAAGAUUGUUUGGGAUAUAAAAAGCAACCUUAAUGAAAGCUUUACUUGGACACUAAAGUAUGUGUAACAAUGGGUGGAGCAAAACCAAAUGACAAAGGAGAAAUAUCCC